GAAGGGAGCUUGCUCCCGGAUGUUAGCGGCGGACGGGUGAGUAACACGUGGGUAACCUGCCUGUAAGACUGGGAUAACUCCGGGAAACCGGAGCUAAUACCGGAUAGUUCCUUGAACCGCAUGGUUCAAGGAUGAAAGACGGUUUCGGCUGUCACUUACAGAUGGACCCGCGGCGCAUUAGCUAGUUGGUGAGGUAACGGCUCACCAAGGCGACGAUGCGUAGCCGACCUGAGAGGGUGAUCGGCCACACUGGGACUGAGACACGGCCCAGACUCCUACGGGAGGCAGCAGUAGGGAAUCUUCCGCAAUGGACGAAAGUCUGACGGAGCAACGCCGCGUGAGUGAUGAAGGUUUUCGGAUCGUAAAGCUCUGUUGUUAGGGAAGAACAAGUGCAAGAGUAACUGCUUGCACCUUGACGGUACCUAACCAGAAAGCCACGGCUAACUACGUGCCAGCAGCCGCGGUAAUACGUAGGUGGCAAGCGUUGUCCGGAAUUAUUGGGCGUAAAGGGCUCGCAGGCGGUUUCUUAAGUCUGAUGUGAAAGCCCCCGGCUCAACCGGGGAGGGUCAUUGGAAACUGGGAAACUUGAGUGCAGAAGAGGAGAGUGGAAUUCCACGUGUAGCGGUGAAAUGCGUAGAGAUGUG
rnacentral:rRNA from 2 species